GCAAGUCGCGCGUGAAAGCCUUCGGGUGAGUAAAGCGGCGCAAGGGUGAGUAACACGUAAUCAACCUACCCUCCAGACUGGAAUAACCACGGGAAACUGUGGGUAAUGCCGGAUGGACUCAAUAGAUGGCAUCAUCUAUUGAAUAAAUGGCAGCUUCGGCUGCUGCUGGGGGAGGGGGUUGCGGCCUAUCAGCUUGUUGGUGAGGUAACGGCUCACCAAGGCAAUGACGGGUAGCGGGUCUGAGAGGAUGGUC
rnacentral:rRNA from 1 species